UCUCAAAUCUCACGGAGUGGCAACUGCGCAAGGGCGAAGCGGCGCAGUCGGGGGCCAGCUCCAGCGGGCGGGGCCUGGAGUCAGCCCUCUGCAGCCCACGACCCUCACCGGCGCAGGGCAUCCACAUUAAUCUGGAUAAAGGCUGCUUCUUCAGCCACAGCUAAGGUGCAUGUAAUAGGAAUGAGAGCCACCUGUGUUUCAGAAAGCGUCUGGGAUUUUAGAGCUGCUUGUAACUGCAGCCUAACACAGCCUCAGCCAACUGAUACAUCCAGUGUCAUCAAAACAGAGCAGUGAACCAAGCAGCUGGCUCAUUGUUUGAGAAACAGUUGUUUCACGGGUGAAUUGACCUCAUCUUCGGCAGCCACCGGUUUGCUAAGCAUUUACUUUGAACAUUUCUAUGGUAAGUGACAGGGUCCUCAUGUUUAAGUAUAUUCUGAUGUGAGUCACAUCCAGAAAACUUGGGAAAGGGGAAAAGAAAAAAAAGGAACAUGCUGGUCAAGAUUUUUGUUUGUUUGUUUCAACGUUCCACAUAAGGCUGCUGCCAGAUGUUCACAUUUCAUCUUGCCUGAAUAAAAAUCUUUCUUAUUCAAGAAUGUCAAUAUCAUUUAACAGCAAAAGCAAUAUAAUUACACUAUUCAAUAAACAUUUAACAAGACACAGUCAUUUUCAACUAAAAGAGGACUUACCAGAAUAUACCUCUUAGCAAUUUACUAGUUAAAUUAGUUUGAAAAAAUCUAUUUUUUUUAAACAACAUCUGGUGAACAGUCUCUAAUUUCUACAGUUUUGGAAUGAAAAGGCACUGCACCAGUUCAUUGCUACGAACAAUUUGCUAGUUGUUUACCUUAAUGCCAAUCUUACCCCCCUGCCAGACACAUAUAUUUCAAGUGUGUUUUCUGUAUUU